AUGCCCCUAGACUUCACGAAACACUUCCCCGCCGUGCGGACGGGGUUCAAGCUGAAGACAAACACCGGCUGCGGAUGGAGGGUUACUUUCCGACUGAUGAAUGGCCGAGUCACCCUCGAUCGGGGUUGGGCCCCCUUCGCCGUCGUCCACCAGAUCAAGAUCCGGUACUUGGUGACCUUCAAGUUGCUGACUCCCGACACCUUGAUGGUGACCGUCUUCAAAGACAACGGCAUUGAAGUGGUGACCAAGUGCGGGAGGCACGACGACGCCUUCGCCGUGAACGUCUAUGAGAGCUCUCUGUUGCACAUGCUAGUUUGGUUAGGACUAUGUCGUACUGGUUUGGUUAAAAACUGCUUAGUUUAA
rnacentral:rRNA from 1 species